UACGAAGGUGGCAAGCGUUGUCCGGAUUUACUGGGCGUAAAGGGCGUGCAGGCGGUUUGUUAAGUUCAGGGUGAAAGCUCCCGGCUCAACUGGGAGAGGUCCUUGGAUACUGGCAGACUUGAGGAGGGUAGAGGAGAGUGGAAUUCCCGGUGUAGUGGUGAUAUGCGUAGAUAUCGGGAGGAACACCAGUGGCGAAGGCGGCUCUCUGGGCCAUACCUGACGCUGAGACGCGAAAGCGUGGGGAGCGAACCGG
rnacentral:rRNA from 1 species